rnacentral:rRNA from 1 species
GACGAACGCUGGCGGCGUGCUUAACACAUGCAAGUCGAACGAAGGGGCGAACGGGUGAGUAAUACGUGGGUAACCUGCCCUCCUUUUUGGGAUAAGCAUUGGAAACGGGGUAUAAUACAGAAUACAGGGGGAUGGGCUCGCGGUCUAUCAGCUUGGUGGUGGGGUGAUGGCCUACAAAGGCGGUGACGGGUAGCCGGCGUGAGACGGUGACCCGCGACAGUGGGACUGGGAUACGCCCCAGACGCCGACGGGAGGGAGCAAUGGGGGAGAAUGGACAAAGGGCGAAAGCCUGAAUCAGCGACGCCGCGUGGGGGAUGAAGGCUUUCGGGUUUUAAUCCUCUUUCGCUAUCGAACAGGUAGGUGGAAAAGAAGCGCCGGCCAACUACGUGCCAGCAGCCGGGGUAAUUCC